rnacentral:rRNA from 1 species
GACGAACGCUGGCGGCGUGCCUAAUACAUGCAAGUCGAACGCUUCUUUCCUCCCGAGUGCUUGCACUCAAUUGGAAAGAGGAGUGGCGGACGGGUGAGUAACACGUGGGUAACCUACCCAUCAGAGGGGGAUAACACUUGGAAACAGGUGCUAAUACCGCAUAACAGUUUAUGCCGCAUGGCAUAAGAGUGAAAGGCGCUUUCGGGUGUCGCUGAUGGAUGGACCCGCGGUGCAUUAGCUAGUUGGUGAGGUAACGGCUCACCAAGGCCACGAUGCAUAGCCGACCUGAGAGGGUGAUCGGCCACUCUGGGACUGAGACACGGCCCAGACUCCUACGGGAGGCAGCAGUAGGGAAUCUUCGGCAAUGGACGAAAGUCUGACCGAGCAACGCCGCGUGAGUGAAGAAGGUUUUCGGAUCGUAAAACUCUGUUGUUAGAGAAGAACAAGGACGUUAGUAACUGAACGUCCCCUGACGGUAUCUAACCAGAAAGCCACGGCUAACUACGUG